UUUGAAUUGUUUUUUGUAUUGUACUAGACUUGUUGAAUUGUAAUUUAUUUUCUUUUGAUUAAUCAUGUGUUAUAAUUUUAUAAAAUGUUGACUUUUUGAUUCAUAAUAUUGAACUUAAUUUUAAAUUUUUUUCUUAAGAUAGUUAUGUCAGGUUUUUCACAAUCAAGUGUUUCUUCCCAAAAUUCUCGAGGAACCAAAAGGAAAUGUGUUUCUAAAAAAGAUGUUACGUUGGUUACCUGUAUGGUUGACUUGCACAAUGUUGGAACCUUUAAUGAUGAUACGAGAUUCAAA
rnacentral:lncRNA from 1 species